CGUAGAAGCAACCCAAACCAACAUCCAAAUCUAUGGCUUCUAUUCAAUUUCUCAAGAACUAGCAAAGACUAAUUCUUUAUUUUUUGCAUAUAUAGUUACAAUAAAUUCCCCAAAUUUAACAACAAUCUUGUUCCACCAAUGGCCAAUUCUGUACUCUCUUCCAAUUUCUUGGGUUCCCAAAUCUUUGUUUCUCCUCCCACACCUAAAACCUCAAGGUAUUUCCAUCUUCACUCCAGAAGAAAGUAUAUAGUUCCUCAAUCAAUUCUCAGCAAAAAAUCCAAUUCAGAUAAUUUCAAGAAUGUUCCAUCUAAAGCUGCUAUAGCUGCUUUACUCUUCUCUUCAAUCACCCCACAAGCUUUUGCUCUUGAUAAUACAACCCCAGCAGCACCACCACAAGUGAUUGAAGCUGAAGCACCAAAACCUAGUGCCUCAAACUCAUUACCCUUUGCUCAAAAUAUCAUUUUGAAUGCUCCAAAGACUCAAGCGCAGCCUGCUUCUGACCUUCCUGAAGGUACUCAAUGGAGGUACAGUGAGUUCUUGAAUGCUGUGAAGAAGGGGAAAGUUGAAAGGGUUAGAUUUAGUAAAGACGGAAGUACCCUUCAGCUUACAGCUGUAGAUGGGCGUAGAGCUAAUGUAAUUGUGCCUAAUGACCCGGAUUUAAUCGAUAUUUUGGCGAUGAAUGGUGUGGAUAUAUCAGUUUCUGAAGGUGAAGGGGGUAAUGGGUUGUUUAGUGUUAUUGGGAACUUGUUGUUCCCUAUUAUUGCUUUUGCUGGGUUGUUUUUCCUUUUCAGGCGGUCUCAGGGCGGCCCAGGUGGGCCUGGAGGACUUGGCGGGCCGAUGGAUUUCGGCCGGUCUAAGUCCAAGUUUCAGGAGGUGCCUGAAACUGGAGUGACUUUUGCUGAUGUUGCUGGUGCUGAUCAAGCUAAAUUGGAGUUACAGGAAGUGGUUGAUUUCUUGAAAAAUCCUGAUAAGUAUACUGCUUUAGGUGCUAAGAUACCAAAAGGGUGUCUUUUAGUUGGUCCACCAGGUACUGGAAAGACCCUUUUAGCUAGAGCAGUAGCUGGUGAGGCUGGUGUGCCAUUUUUCUCUUGUGCAGCGUCAGAGUUUGUUGAGUUGUUUGUGGGUGUGGGAGCUUCUAGAGUUAGG
rnacentral:misc_RNA from 1 species